rnacentral:rRNA from 1 species
AUUGAACGCUGGCGGCAGGCCUAACACAUGCACGUCGAGCGAGCGGCGGACGGGUGAGUAAUGUAUGGGGACUGCCCGAUAGAGGGGGAUAAAUACUGGAAACGGUGGCUAAUACCGCAUACUAUCGGAUAACCCAUAUGGGAUUAGCUAGUAGGUGGGGUAAAGGCCCACCUAGGCGACUAUCUCUAGCUGGUCUGAGAGGAUGAUAAGCCACACUGGGACUGAGACACGCCCCAGACUCCUACGGAGGCUGCAGUGGGGAAGAUUGCACAAGGGGCGCAAGCCUGGUGCAGCCAUGCCGAGUGUAUGAAGAAGGCCUUAGGGUUGUAAAGUACUUUCAGCGGGGAAGCGUUACCCGCAGAAGAAGCACCGGCUAACUCCGUGCCAGCAGCCGCGGUAAUAC